rnacentral:rRNA from 1 species
GACGUAGGGCGCGAGCGUUGUCCGGAUUUAUUGGGCGUAAAGAGCUCGUAGGUGGCGUGUCGCGUCUGCCGUGAAAGCCCAUGGCUUAACUGUGGGUCUGCGGUGGAUACGGGCAGGCUGGAGGCUGGUAGGGGCAAGCGGAAUUCCUGGUGUAGCGGUGAAAUGCGCAGAUAUCAGGAGGAACACCGGUGGCGAAGGCGGCUUGCUGGGCCAGUUCUGACGCUGAGGAGCGAAAGCGUGGGGAGCGAACAGG